ACGUGGUGCGGGACGGACGCGCGAAUGCAACAGCGGCUUACGAAAAUCAGGUAAUAAAAAAAACAAACAAACGUUCGUUCAUUCUCAAUUUGAGUGUUUUUGUUUUUUUUAAAACUCUGUUGGGAGGUGAUUCGAUAAAAUGUUGUCCAUUUCAAUUGGAAACGAAACGGGGAGUGAUAAGAGAGAACAUUGACUGGGCACGAUGGGUCCCAGUGCAUCUGCAAUCGAAGGAAAAAAAAAAAAAGGAAAGGAGCCAAUGGCAAUUGUUUGAUUUCCCAAUUAUCCCUCAUUCCCACGCUCGUGUUUCAUUUCUGGUUUGACUGGCGGCCAAAGAACAACAAACGAAGAAACAACAGCCGAUUGGCCGGAUUCUAACGGCCAAAACGGGAACGUGAAAAAUUACGGGAAAUUGGAUGUACGGCGACCGAGAACACUCGUGACAUCCGCGACUUUCGUUGAUUCCAUCGCAAUCAAAAGAAAAAAAAAAGAGAAAGAGAUAAUAAUAAUAAUAAUAAUAAUAGGUUCACAACGGAAAUCGUCAAGGAUAACGAGCGCUUCGAUCGCAAUGCGAACGGAAAGGGAAGAGGUACUCGUCUUCGCUGCUGUUGCUGCUCGAACUACUUUCACUACUCCUACUACUGGAAGAACGGUUCAUAUCGUGUCUCUAAAUAGGGAGAAAUAAAAAAGCAGAAUUAAUCAAUCUAAUCGACCCCAAAUAGGAAAGGCGAUCAAAUUCAAAUCUCAUUCAAUUAGAAACGAUGGAAAUACACUGGAACAUGUUCUGCGUU